rnacentral:rRNA from 1 species
GUAAGGGAUAUUGCGCGAAUGGGCGAAAGCCUGACGCAGCAACGCCGCGUGCGGGAUGACGGCCUUCGGGUCGUAAACCGCUUUUCGAGGCGAAGAGGAAGGACGGUAGCCUCGGAAGAAGUCUCGGCUAACUACGUGCCAGCAGCCGCGGUAAAACGUAGGAGGCGAGCGUUAUCCGGAUUUACUGGGUGUAAAGCGCGAGCAGGCGGUUGGGCAAGUCAUGUGUGAAAGCGCCCAGGCUCAACCGGGCGAGGACAUGUGAAACUGGUCAACUGGAGGCAGGCAGAGGCAGACGGAAUUCCGGGUGUAGUGGUGAAAUGCGUAGAGAUCCGGAGGAACACCAGUGGCGAAGGCGGUCUGCUGGGCCUGGCCUGACGCUCAGAGGCGAAAGCAUGGGGAGCGAACGGGAUUAGAAACCCUAGUAGUCC